rnacentral:rRNA from 1 species
AGCAUAUCAAUAAGCGGAGGAAAAGAAACCAACAGGGAUUACCUCAGUAACGGCGAGUGAAGCGGUAACAGCUCAAAUUUGAAAUCUGGGUCUUUCAGGCUCCGAGUUGUAAUUUGUAGAAGAUGCUUUGGGUGCGGCCCCGGUCUAAGUUCCUUGGAACAGGACGUCAUAGAGGGUGAGAAUCCCGUAUGUGAUCGGUGGCUUGCGCCCGUGUAAAGCUCUUUCGACGAGUCGGGUUGUUUGGGAAUGCAGCUCUAAAUGGGUGGUAAAUUUCAUCUAAAGCUAAAUAUUGGCCAGAGACCGAUAGCGCACAAGUAGAGUGAUCGAAAGAUGAAAAGCACUUUGGAAAGAGAGUUAAACAGUACGUGAAAUUGUUGAAAGGGAAGCGCUUGCAACCAGACUUGCGCGGGGUUGAUCAUCCGGGGUUCUCCCCGGUGCACUCGGCCUCGCUCAGGCCAGCAUCGGUUUCGGUGGUUGGAUAAAGGCCUUGGGAAUGUGACUCCUUUCGGGGAGUGUUAUAGCCCUCGGUGCAAUGCAGCCUACCGGGACCGAGGACCGCGCUUCGGCUAGGAUGCUGGCGUAAUGGUUGUAAGCGACCCGUCUUGAAACACGGACCAAGGAGUCUAACAUCUAUGCGAGUGUUUGGGUGUCAAACCCAUACGCGUAAUGAAAGUGAACGGAGGUGAGAACCCUUAAGGGUGCAUCAUCGACCGAUCCUGAUGUCUUCGGAUGGAUUUGAGUAAGAGCAUAGCUGUUGGGACCCGAAAGAUGGUGAACUAUGCCUGAAUAGGGUGAAGCCAGAGGAAACUCUGGUGGAGGCUCGCAGCGGUUCUGACGUGCAAAUCGAUCGUCAAAUUUGGGUAUAGGGGCGAAAGACUAAUCGAA